rnacentral:rRNA from 1 species
CCUACGGGCUGCAGCAGUGGGGAAUUUUCCGCAAUGGGCGAAAGCCUAACGGAGCAAUGCCGCGUGGAGGUAGAAGGCCCACGGGUCGUGAACUUCUUUUCCCGGAGAAGAAGCAAUGACGGUAUCUGGGGAAUAAGCAUCGGCUGACUCUGUGCCAGCAGCCGCGGUAAUACAGAAGAUGCAAGCGUUAUCCGGAAUGAUUGGGCGUAAAGCGUCUGUAGGUGGCUUUUUAAGUCCGCCGUCAAAUCCCAGGGCUCAACCCUGGACAGGCAGUGGAAACUACCAAGCUGGAGUACGGUAGGGGCAGAGGGAAUUUCCGGUGGAGCGGUGAAAUGCGUAGAGAUCGGGAAGAACACCAACGGCGAAAGCACUCUGCUGGGCCGACACUGACACUGAGUGACGAAAGCUAGGGGAGCGAAUGGGAUUAGAUACCCGCGUAGUC